rnacentral:sRNA from 1 species
CAGAAGAGAGGCAAAGAGAGGAGCAGCUGGUCUCAUUUGACAGCCAUGAGGAGUGGAACCAGAUGCAGAGCCAGGACGAUGAGGUGGCCAUCACUGAGCAGGAUUUGGAACUUAUUAAAGAAAGAGAAACGGCAAUUCGGCAGCUGGAGGCUGACAUUUUGGAUGUCAAUCAGAUAUUUAAAGAUUUGGCCAUGAUGAUCCAUGACCAGGGUGAUCUGAUUGGUAUGUAUUAUUGAUACCUUUAACCUCAAGGUGAGUUGAUAGUAUUUGGCAUGCAUCUGUAAUCCCAGCUACUCAGAAGGCUGAGGCUGAAGCACCAUCUAGGAGUUUGAAGCCAACCUGGGCAACAUAAUGAUAAUUUGUCUCUUAAAAA